GGCAGCAGUGGGGAAUCUUGCACAAUGGAGGAAACUCUGAUGCAGCGAUGCCGCGUGAGUGAAGAAGGCCCUUGGGUUGUAAAGCUCUUUCGUCGGGGAAGAAAAUGACUGUACCCGAAUAAGAAGGUCCGGCUAACUUCGUGCCAGCAGCCGCGGUAAUACGAAGGGACCUAGCGUAGUUCGGAAUUACUGGGCUUAAAGAGUUCGUAGGUGGUUGAAAAAGUUAGUGGUGAAAUCCCAGAGCUUAACUCUGGAACUGCCAUUAAAACUUUUCAGCUAGAGUAUGAUAGAGGAAAGCAGAAUUUCUAGUGUAGAGGUGAAAUUCGUAGAUAUUAGAAAGAAUACCAAUUGCGAAGGCAGCUUUCUGGAUCAUUACUGACACUGAGGAACGAAAGCAUGGGUAGCGAAGAGGAUUAGAUACCCUCGUAGUCCAUGCCGUAAACGAUGUGUGUUAGACGUUGGAAAUUUAUUUUCAGUGUCGCAGGGAAACCGAUAAACACACCGCCUGGGGAGUACGACCGCAAGGUUAAAACUCAAAGGAAUUGACGGA
rnacentral:rRNA from 1 species